GGAUAGCUCAGUUGACGAGAGCGUGGUGCUGGCAAUGCCAAGGUCGCAGGUUCGAUCCCCGCAUGGGGCAGCU